rnacentral:rRNA from 1 species
GAUGAACGCUGGCGGCGUGCCUAAUACAUGCAAGUCGAGCGAACAGACGCUGCGCUUGCUCCUCUGACGUUAGCGGCGGACGGGUGAGUAACACGUGGAUAACCUACCUAUAAGACUGGGAUAACUUCGGGAAACCGGCGCUAAUACCGGAUAAUAUAUUGCACCGCAUUGUUCAAUAGUGAAAGACGGUUUUGCUGUCACUUAUCGAUGGAUCCGCGCCGCAUUAGCUAGUUGGUAAGGUAACGGCUUACCAAGGCGACGAUGCGUAGCCGACCUGAGAGGGUGAUCGGCCACACUGGAACUGAGACACGGUCCAGACUCCUACGGGAGGCAGCAGUAGGGAAUCUUACGCAAUGGGCGAAAGCAUGACGGAGCAACGGCGCGUGAGUGAUGAAGGUCUUCGGAGCGUAAAAAUCUGUUAUUAGGGAAGAACAAAUGUGGAAGUAAAUAUGCACGUCGUGACGGUAACGAAUCAGAAAGCAACGGCUAACUACGUG